rnacentral:ribozyme from 14 species
ACUGAACGAACGAACAAACGAACGAAUGUCAAAGACACAGAAUGGACUACAUCUCUUUAUUAUGAGAUUUGUUUGUUUGCUGCAUUUUUUUUUCUUCCUUCUUCUCUUU